ensembl:lncRNA
AACAGUGGCGUCUUGCCAUAAAAUAUGACACACACGUCAUAAUAUAAACUGAAUCAAAAUAUAUAAUAUCACCACAGUUUAGUAUCAAUUCCCCAUUAAUACUAAUAAUUAUAAUAAUAUUUAAUAAUUCCCCUUCAGAUCAUUCAGGCGUAAAGCAAUAGCAAAGAGCUCUAAAUCAGGAGGAUGACAUCCGCAGAAAACUCUAACUGAGGAAUACGUCUGUAGCUGGAGGUGUGUGUGACUGUGGAAUACAGCUGUAUGAGGUGUGUGUGUGUGUGUGUGUGUGACUGUGGAAAGGUGUGUGUGACUGUGGAAUACAUCUGUCUCAGGAGGUGUGUGUGACUGUGGAAUACAGGAGGAGGUGUGUGUGACUGUGGAAUACAUCAGGAGGUGUGUGUGUGUGUGUGUGUGUGUGUGUGUGUGUGACUGUGGAAUACAUCUGUAGCAGGAGUGUGUGUGUGACUGUGGAAUACAUCUGUAGCAGGAGGUGUGUGUGUGACUGUGGAAUACAGGAGGAGGUGUGUGUGACUGUGGAAUACGUCUGUAGCAGGAGGUGUGUGUGACUGUGGAAAGGUGUGUGUGUGUGACUGUGGAAAGGUGUGUGUGACUGUGGAACACAUCUGUAGCUGGAGGUGUGUGUGACUGUGGAAUACAUCUGGAGGUGUGUGUGUGUGGAAUACGUCUGUAACAGGAGGUGUGUGUGUGUGGAAUACGUCUGUAGCAGGAGGUGUGUGUGACUGUGGAAAGGUGUGUGUGUGUGACUGUGGAAAGGUGUGUGUGACUGUGGAAUACAUCUGUAGCUGGAGGUGUGUGUGACUGUGGAAUACAUCUGCAGGAGGUGUGUGUGACUGUGGAAUUGCACAGGGGCAUUAUGAGUGGGGAGGUGUGUUUGUAGUGGGGAGGUGUGUUUGGUGUGUGUGUAGUGGGGAGGUGUGUUUGGUGUGUGUGUAGUGGGGAGGUGUGUUUGGUGUGUGUGUAGUGGGGAGGUGUGUGUGUAGUGGGGAGGUGUGUUUGGUGUGGGGAGGUGUGUGUGUGUAGUGGGGAGGCGUGUUUGGUGUGUGUGUGUGAGUGUGUGU